ACCAAACACCUCAUGGGGAGUUCCCUGUGAUUAUCUGGUGGAGGAAGAGGAGCCUUGGGCAUGGCUCUGUACAAUAUGUAAGCAAUACCAGAAAGUGGACAACUGUAGCGCUCUAGCCCCUCCACAGGUCACCCUAAAGGACAGUGGUGAGGGGAAAUCUUCCCAAUAAGCAUAACUUCAAGCAGUACACUUGGUUAUUCACUUUGAUUAGAAGGAAAUUACCCACUAUAUAAUUAUAUACUGAUUCAUGACCUGUGUCUAACAGUUUUACUCUAUGGUCAGGGAACUGGAAGGGACAAGUUUGAAAAAUUGGUGAUAAGAAAAUUUGGGGAGAUGUAUGUGGUUAGACUUCUCUAAUGGGAUAUUUGUGUCCCACUGGAAUGCUUAUGAAUAGGUGGCCUCAUCAAAGGAGGAUUUUAGUAAUCUAAUGGAUAGGAUGAUCUGUUCUGUGGGUAUCAGCUUCUUUUUCCAGACACCUCGUCACACCCAGUGGGCUCAUGAACAAUGUGGCCCUGAAAGCAGGGUUGAAAGUUAUGCAUGGAUUCAGAAACUUGGACUUCUAUUCACCAUGGCUGACCUGGAUAUGGCCACUGAUGAGUGCCCAGUCUUCCAGCAGCAAAGACUAACCAUGAGUCUUUGAUAGGGCACACUUUUCUAGGAUGAUCAGCCAGCUAUGUGGUGGUAGGUUAGUUACACUGGACUGCUUCCAUUGUGGGAGACACAGUAUUUUGUACUUACUAGAAUAAACACAUACUUUGGCUAUAUAUUUGUCUGUACUGAAUUGCAUGCUUCUGCCCAAACUGUCUGGGCUUACAGAAUGCCUUAUUUGUUGUACGUGUAUUCCAUACAGUAUUGCUUCCAAUCAAGCAACCCACUUCACAGCAGACUAAAUGCAACAGUGAAGACACACUCAUGGACACACUGGGCUUACCAUGUUCUACACUAUUCUGAAGCAGCUGGCUUGAUAUGGAAUGGCCUUUCAAAUUUGGUUAAUUGUCAGGUAGCAAUACAUUGAAGAUCUAAGGCAAAGUCCUCCAGAAAUUUAUUAAGUCUCUGAAUCAGCAUUCACUAUAUGGUGAUAUGUCUUUGUAGCCAAGAUUCUGGGAUCCAGCAAUCAAGGGGUAGAAAUGGGAGUGGC
rnacentral:lncRNA from 1 species